rnacentral:rRNA from 1 species
UACAGAGGGUGCAAGCGUUGUUCGGAAUUACUGGGCGUAAAGGGCGCGUAGGCGGCCGCGUGAGUCAGACGUGAAAUCCCUCGGCUCAACCGGGGAACUGCGUCUGAUACUGGGUGGCUUGAAUCCGGGAGAGGGAUGCAGAAUUCCAGGUGUAGCGGUGAAAUGCGUAGAUAUCUGGAGGAAUACCGGUGGCGAAGGCGGCAUCCUGGACCGGCAUUGACGCUGAGGAGCGAAAGCCAGGGGAGCAAACGGG